rnacentral:lncRNA from 1 species
UCGACGACCGUGCGGUAGAUGGAGGCGUUGGUGAGUAAGAAGAAGAAGAAGGCGAGAGUUGCGGAGACUAGGAAGAGCUUGUUCGCCAUUUGCUAUGUGUGUAUGUUUUUUUUUUGAACAACUAUAUGUGUGUAUGUUUAUUGGGUGUGUUUGUUGUGAGUGAAGAGUGAAGUGAAGGGUUGGUUGGUAUUUAUAGGUGAGAAAGAAGUUUUGCAUGGAGAUCACGUGUAGCACUGCAUGUAUGUAUGUAUGUUUGUUGUUCCUGACGGAAAGAGAGAGAGAGGGAAAAGCUAUAAGCUCAAAUGUGGUGGAGUGACAAGUUUCCGCGUCUGCAUGCAAUGCAACCAAUGCAUAUAUGAUGUGUAGCUCAUAUUCUGACAUGCGACUUAUAUUUUAAGACGAAGGCUAAACUGUGUUUCCGAGUAAUUCAAUAUUGAAAGCAUAGUUAUAAAAAAAAUAAAAAGUACUAUAAAAUAAAUCAU